UGUAUACUCCCUCCAUCUCGAUUUACUUGUCGCGGAAAUGGAUGAAUCUAGACGUAUUUUAUUUAUAGAUGCAUCCAUUUCUGCGACAAGUAAUUCCGGGCGGAGGGAGUACGAU
rfam:Triticum aestivum genome assembly, contig: Triticum_aestivum_CS42_TGACv1_scaffold_212728_3AS